rnacentral:rRNA from 1 species
AAACUUAAAUGAAUUGACGGGGCCCGCACAAGCGGUGGAGCAUGUGGUUUAAUUCGACGCAACGCGCAGAACCUUACCUGGGCUUGACAUCCCGAUCGUACUUUCUGGAAACAGUUAGGUCAGUUCGGCUGGAUCGGUGACAGGUGCUGCAUGGCUGCCGUCAGCUCGUGUCGUGAGAUGUUGGGUUAAGUCCCGCAACGAGCGCAACCCUUGUCCUUAGUUGCCAGCAUUAAGUUGGGCACUCUAAGGAGACUGCCGGUGUUAAACCGGAGGAAGGUGGGGAUGACGUCAAGUCCUCAUGGCCCUUAUGUCCAGGGCUACACACGUGCUACAAUGGCCGGUACAAAGGGCUGCAAUACCGCAAGGUGGAGCGAACCCCAAAAAGCCGGUCUCAGUUCAGAUUGUAGGCUGCAACCCGCCUACAUGAAGUCGGAGUUGCUAGUAACCGCAGGCCAGCCAUACUGCGGUGAAUACGUUCUCGGGGAUU